CUUUUGUUUUGUCGGUCUCUCUCUUUCUCUCUUGUUCUCUCAGCCAAACUGAUCAAUUUCAAUCUCUUCAUCUGUUUCCAUCGAUCUCUCUCUCUCUCGAUCAGCCAAGAGAAGAAACUCUCUCUCGAUCUCUCUCUCGAUCUCUCUCUCGUUCUAUUUCUCGAUUUCUCUCUAUGGAUUUCUCGAUCUCUCAAUGAAUUUCUCGAUCUGUCUCUCUCUCGAGCGCCAGAGGCUCUAUUUCUCGAUCUCUCUCUCUCGAGCGCCACAGACGAUCGCUGUGCUAAUAAUCUCGUCUCUCACUCGUCACCGAAUGAUUUGUCAGCUUUGUUUCUUUGUAAAGCUUCUUCGCCUUGCCUUGACAAAGGAAGAUUUGAUUUGCGGAGUAGUGCAAGUGGGUGUGACUGUAUCCAAGGUUGUGGCAGUGGCUGCCUUUGUGAAGCCAAGAAUUCAGGUGAGUUUGCUUAUGAUUAUCAUGGGAAGUUAAUAAGAUUGAAACCAUUGAUACAUGAAUGUGGACCAGCAUGUCAGUGCCCUCCAACUUGUCGAAACCGUGUGACUCAAAAGGGUUUGAAGAACAGACUAGAAGUGUUUAGGUCAGUGGAAACGGGUUGGGGAGUUCGGUCUUUGGAUAUAUUACAUGCUGGUGCUUUUAUUUGUGAGUAUGCUGGGGUUGCUUUGACAAGGGAACAAGCCAACAUUCUGACAAUGAACGGGUGAUACAAUGGUAUAUCCUGCUCGGGUGAUCCAAAUGUCAUUGUCCAGUUAGUACUCCAUGAUCACAACAGUCUGAUGUUCCCCAGAGUCGUGCUUUUCGCUGCAGAGAAUAUCCCUCCCAUGACUGAGCUUAGCCUUGAUUAUGGAGUAGCUGAUGAUUGGACCGCCAAGCUUGCCAUUUAUAAUUGGAAAAUCUCCUUUUUAAAUGAUGGUUCUUAGCCAUCUUUUUUCCAGAAAUCAUUCUCUCGAGGAGUUGUUAUAAAGUUAGAGACGACAAGGAAAGCAAGGAAUAGUCUGUAUUAAUGUGCUCCAUUAACAUCAGAAGAGUUAACUACUGAAUUCUUUAUAAUCUAGGAGUUUUUUUUGGUGGAGUAAGUUCUUGUUUACGGUCAUGUCCUCUGUCUCAUCUUCAGCUUCGUCGUUUUCUAAGACAUGCACAUUAUCAUAUUGGAUUCUUCUGGUCAUGUUGUUGAUAUGGAAGGAUGAUGGAAGGAUGAGAGUUCUCGUUGGUAUAUCAUCUACACAGAUAACAAUAGAGAAAUUCUAAACCAACAUAUUCAAAAGCAAAGGCUUGGCUAUUUCAUGUGUGUGAAGAAAAAAAACGAGAGAGAGAGCAAAGAUUCUCAUAGUCAAACUCGGUUUUAAGGGUUUGUAACCAGAAGUCUUUAAGGUUUUUUUAUCAAAGUUCUCUGCAACGAACGCAACGCAGCGUAGAAAAAAAAAAAAAAGAACAGUGGAGGAUUCAGACUCUGCUUUUUAAGUUUGCAGGUACUAGAGAAAGAAGUUGUAAAGAUGUGUCGCGCAGUCACGAGAAGCAGUCCGAGGAACUAAGGAUCUUAUCGUUGACAACUCCAUAUAUAUACAGCGCUUUAUUACUUUGAGCUCAGUUCGGGCAAUUGUUGCAGAAAAAUAGUGACCACGCUCACUUUGUUGACAUCUCUCCUCUGUAAAAGGGUUGCAUCACUUUUGAACUUCUUCGAUUUGUAAAUCACUCAGGUUUGUUCUUUUUCUAUCUAUAUAAGAUGUUAAGUUUCUUAAUAAUAGCCAUUACACUCAUAAUAUAUAGCUCUUACAUAUAUUCACUUAUCUUCCCUAUGUUUUUGAACCUUAUUACACACUUAACUGAUAUAUUACACAAUCCAUUCUACACUUGCCUAGACAUUAGUCGUCUUAAUCAAUAAUCACAUACUUGUUUCAUAUUCCAAAUGACGCUCUAUCUCUAAUUUGUUUCCUUUGGAGGAACGGAAUAAUUAAAGGAAGAUUAAAAUGAAGCGUAGGAUCGGCAAUAGCGGCCUUGAUUGGUUGUAGCUUUGGAUUUUUGUCUCUAGAUUUAGAGCUGUGUAAUUUUUGGCUGUGACUGUAGAUUUUAUUGCGGCACGAUAUUGGGUGUAGGAAUUAUUUUUUUUAGAAAGCUGAAAUAUAUGUGAAAAAUGACUUUGUACCGCCAAAAUCUUUCCUUAAUUUUUUUCGGUUGUGAAUCAAAAAAGGAAAUACAAAUUUUAUAAAGUUUGAUUGCUGGUUUA